UUCGUUGCGGUGACCGUUUAUGGUGUUCAUGCGUGUACGUAAAUGCAGAAGAAUCUGAGUUUCACAAUGGUGCAGAUCCCCUUGUGUUUUGUGUUGACAAAAUGACAAGAUCGAUGGCAUUUUCCACUGACGUGUGAAAAGCAGCUGUUCAACGCGCUCCUUCGUCAGCUUGCUCGACAUCUCAGACUCGGCUAGCACAACUGUGCGAACAGUGAGCAGGGUGAAGAUACUGAUACAUAAUAUCAAGUUGCGAGUGCGCUCUCAAAUAUUUCAGAACAUACCCAGGACGCACAGGACAGAGUAAUUAUAGCUUUUUCGCUGCUUCUAACAGUGCGAUCAAGAAACAUAGCAUAUUCAGAAUUUUCUGGUGAAGAACCAAAGCUUUUAACAUUUGAGGAUACCAGAAAGAAGUUCAUUUCUCCGGGCAGCAGCGACUGGUGCGAAAAAAAUUGCUCUUCGAGGUCCCAUAUUUACGUGAAAAGAUGAGUGACGUGGCCUGCUAAUCAGUUUCACCUGAGAAACUGAGAAUUUUACGAGCGCUCAUGAAGGACAAAGUAGCAACCUCCUCCAGCUCGCAGUGAGGCAAGGGGA